rnacentral:rRNA from 1 species
AGAGUUUGAUCCUGGCUCAGGAUGAACGCUGGCGGCGUGCCUAACACAUGCAAGUCGAACGGACUUUUCAUGAAGCCUAGCGAUUGAAAAGUUAGUGGCGGACGGGUGAGUAACGCGUGGGUAACCUGCCUUGUACUGGGGGACAACAGUUGGAAACGACUGCUAAUACCGCAUAAGCGCACAGCUUCGCAUGAAGCAGUGUGAAAAACUCCGGUGGUACAAGAUGGACCCGCGUCUGAUUAGCUGGUUGGUGAGGUAACGGCCCACCAAGGCGACGAUCAGUAGCCGGCCUGAGAGGGUGAACGGCCACAUUGGGACUGAGACACGGCCCAAACUCCUACGGGAGGCAGCAGUGGGGAAUAUUGCACAAUGGGGGAAACCCUGAUGCAGCGACGCCGCGUGAGUGAAGAAGUAUUUCGGUAUGUAAAGCUCUAUCAGCAGGGAAGAAAAUGACGGUACCUGACUAAGAAGCCCCGGCUAACUACGUGCCAGCAGCCGCGGUAAUACGUAGGGGGCAAGCGUUAUCCGGAUUUACUGGGUGUAAAGGGAGCGUAGACGGUUUUGCAAGUCUGAAGUGAAAGCCCGGGGCUUAACCCCGGGACUGCUUUGGAAACUGUAGAACUAGAGUGCAGGAGAGGUAAGUGGAAUUCCUAGUGUAGCGGUGAAAUGCGUAGAUAUUAGGAGGAACACCAGUGGCGAAGGCGGCUUACUGGACGGUAACUGACGUUGAGGCUCGAAAGCGUGGGGAGCAAACAGGAUUAGAUACCCUGGUAGUCCACGCCGUAAACG